GAAUCUUCGGCAAUGGGCGCAAGCCUGACCGAGCCAUGCCGCGUGAGCGAUGAAGGCCUUAGGGUUGUAAAGCUCUUUCGCCAGGGAUGAUAAUGACAGUACCUGGUAAAGCAACCCCGGCUAACUCCGUGCCAGCAGCCGCGGUAAUACGGAGGGGGUUAGCGUUGUUCGGAAUUACUGGGCGUAAAGCGCGCGUAGGCGGAUCAGAAAGUUGGGGGUGAAAUCCCGGGGCUCAACCCCGGAACUGCCUCCAAAACUCCUGGUCUUGAGUUCGAGAGAGGUGAGUGGAACUCCGAGUGUAGAGGUGAAAUUCGUAGUUAUUCGGAAGAACACCAGUGGCGAAGGCGGCUCACUGGCUCGAUACUGACGCUGAGGUGCGAAAGUGUGGGGAGCAAACAGG
rnacentral:rRNA from 1 species